AUCAAUGUGGGAGCUGGCUUGCCUGCGAUAGCGUUGGGUCAGUCGACACCGCUAUCGCAAGCAAGCCAGCUCCCACAUGUUG
rnacentral:misc_RNA from 1 species